AUAUUCCUACGGGGGGCAGCAGUGGGGAAUUUUGCGCAAUGGGGGAAACCCUGACGCAGCAACGCCGCGUGCGGGACGAAGGCCCUCGGGCUGCAAACCGCUUUCAGCAGGGAAGACGUCGACGGUACCUGCAGAAGAAGCUCCGGCUAACUACGUGCCAGCAGCCGCGGUAAUACGUGGGGGGCGAGCGUUAUCCGGAUUCAUUGGGCGUAAAGCGCGCGUAGGCGGCCGCCUAAGCGGAACCUCUAACCCCGGGGCUCAACCUCGGGCCGGGUUCCGGACUGGGCGGCUCGAGCG
rnacentral:rRNA from 1 species